UACGUAGGGUGCGAGCGUUAAUCGGAAUUACUGGGCGUAAAGCGUGCGCAGGCGGUUCGCCAAGUCAGGUGUGAAAUCCCCCGGGCUUAACCUGGGAAUUGCGCUUGAAACUAGCGGGCUUGAGUGUGGCAGAGGGGGGGUGGAAUUCCACGUGUAGCAGUGAAAUGCGUAGAGAUGUGGAGGAACACCGAUGGCGAAGGCAGCCCCCCUGGGUCAACACUGACGCUCAUGCACGAAAGCGUGGGGAGCAAACAGG
rnacentral:rRNA from 1 species